GCCAGAGCCAUAUCUCCCUGCAGCUCUUGCACUGAAGUUAAGCAGGGUUGAGCUUGGCCAGUACCUGGAUGGGAAACCUCCUGGGGAACACUAAGGUUGCUGCUGGAA
rnacentral:rRNA from 1 species